AAGAACACACAUUUUAAGAUGUAAAAUUUAUAUCUGAAAACAGAAGAUCCUAAGAUCAAGAUCAAACAAUAAUUGUUCCACGAAACAUCUAAUCUAUAACUGAAGGUUCCUGCAAGUCAGCAAUGUAGUCGUAAGAACUGGCAAAAGUAAGAUCAGUGAUUACACCAGUGAAAUUCAAACUUUGGGUGAAAGGGAAAAAAAAUGGCCCUUCUUCAUAGGUUCACUUGAACUUUGGCCCAUAAGAACAAGUACAUGCUUCAAUCAUUUGGAUUUUAGGAUAAAUAAACACCAAUAUUUUGGCAAAGGUUAUACAGAUUGGGUCAGCAUCAUCUGUUGCUCCUCGAUGUCAAUACUCCUUCAAUAAUUACACCCAAAUGAAUGCAUGAUCACAACUUCCAUUUACAACAUGGAUAUUGCUGAAUGAUUUUGUAUAUUCACUUUAUUCAUUAUAUCAUAAUGAUUAUGUUGCACACUAUCUUGUUCAUUAAGGCUGUUCAUGUCUUUUAUUGUUGUGCCCAGUUCUAUAUAUAUUUGAGGGCUUAGGUUUGUUGCAGAAAACAAUGAUGAGUACUGCUGAAAUUGAGCAAUCUUGUGCUGCCUGGUUUCGGGCUUCCUCUCCCAAAAUUUGCUGGUGUUCUGGCUUCUCCUUUCUAGCCCUUGGUUAUGUGCCAUUCUCCUUCUCUGCUUCCCCUAUUGAUAAGAUGUUAGUUUUCUGUGGAAUUUGACCGUGUUGAUCAAUCGGGCCAUAUUGUUGUCUCAAACCUCACAAUUCAAUCUGUUGAGCUCGUUGGGGGUUCCAGGGGAUCUUAGCUAUAAUAUCCAAAGACCAAACUUUGGUAUGUGCUUAUAUUUUUUGUGAAAAGUUCUGUGAAAUAAUUAUUUAUUUAAAAUAAAAGGAUUCGUUAUAUAGUAGAAUUAAUAUAAUUAACUGAGUUUAAAUUAACAGCCGAAUAGAUGCCUUGGGGAGGAGACUUUUGGAAGUCGGUUGAAGAGUGGGACCCACUCUUCUAUCCUUAUCCUGUAAUCGUUUCAUGGGAAUGCUGCUGUUUUUGUUAAAGCAAUGCAGAGAAAUUCUGUAGAAAGAGGCGGAGAAGUCCUAUAGCAGAAGGGGAGAAGUUCUGUAGCAAGAGGCAGUGAAAGACUACAACAUAUUGCGGACAAACUGCUGAGUUUAACAGUGAAUUCCUGUAGAUAAAUUCAUUGGAUUAACUGAGAAGAUCUCGGCCUGAUGCAGGAAUUACUAUUCCUUGGUUCGGCACAGUGAAUUUCUUCAGAAUUUGGGGUGGCUGGAGACUGCGGUAGAAGAACAAUUUAGUGAAAAACUGUAGCAAUUAACAAUGAAGAAAAUUCAGAGAUAUCAGUAAAGGUAUUUGAAGUGUUUUGGUAAAUUCAAUUUAGAAAUUUUAUCAAAGAUUGAGAAUGAUGAAUUGAUGGAAUUAUAAUUAUAGUUUAUUGUGAGCAUAAGAUCUGAAGAAUAUAUCUGAAGUAAGAAUCAAAGGAAAAUCAAAGGAAGAAAUCAAGGUAUGUAAAUUAGUUUCUUUAAAUUAUUUUUAAAGAAAGUUUUCAAGAAGUGUAUAUCAAUCGUAAUUGUAGGAUUAAUCAGAUUUAUGCAGAAAGAAAGUUUUGAGAUAGUUUAUCAAAGGAGAAGAUUACAUGGUGUAGAAUUAGGAGAGGAAAUUCAUCACGAAGGAAAGGGAAAAGAGAAGAUUGACGCAAGCUAAUUUAUGCAAGUGUUUCUUCUUUUCAUGUUAGGAUACCUUUUGUUAGUAAGUUUAAUUUCCAAGGUAUGAAAGCAAAUUAGACAUGUAUUACUUUGAAAUUAUUUGGUUUUCCUUAGUGGCUCUGUACUGGGUUUUGGAUGAAACUUGGAAAAUUGGUACAUGCUUCCUUUAUAGUAUUAGAUGAAGUUUAUAUGAUCUUUUAUAUGAAGUCUUAAUGUAAUUAAAUCAUAAUGAGAUAUUUAGUGAUGGAAAUGUAUGUUUAUUCUUGUUACACUC